GGAUGCGAUCAUACCAGCACUAAAGCACCGGAUCCCAUCAGAACUCCGAAGUUAAGAGUGCUUGGGCGAGAGUAGUACUAGGAUGGGUGACCUCCUGGGAAGUCCUCGUGUUGCAUUCC
rnacentral:rRNA from 1 species